UACAGAGGGUGCAAGCGUUAAUCGGAAUUACUGGGCGUAAAGCGUGCGUAGACGGUUAUGUAAGUCGGGUGUGAAAGCCCCGGGCUCAACCUGGGAAUGCCAUUCGAGACUGCAUAGCUAGGGUGCGGAAGAGGGAAGCGGAAUUCCGGGUGGAGUGGUGAAAUGCGUAGAGAUCCGGAGGAACACCGAAGGCGAAGGCAGUGUCCUGGCUGGUGACUGACGCUGAGGUGCGAAAGCUAGGGGAGCGAACGGG
rnacentral:rRNA from 1 species